UUCAAUCUGCAAAGAGUUUUUAAACAGGAGCGUGUUCUGCACGAGGGAGUCCAACCCUCACUGCGGCACGGAUGGCGUGACGUACGGCAACAAGUGCGCCUUCUGCAAGGCCGUGCUGAGGAGUGGAGGGAAGAUACGGUUGAAGCACAUGGGGAAGUGCUGAGCCUGAGCACCAAGCACUGAUCCUCGUCGGUCACAGGCACAGGAGCCUGGGCACGGCAGCAGCUGUCCUUGUCUCUGCCAUCUCUGCUCAAUAAAAUAGAACUCAGCACAACUCUUUGGCUGGAU
rnacentral:lncRNA from 1 species